rnacentral:rRNA from 1 species
GUGACCUGCGGAAGGAUCAUUAU